CAGUCGCCGCGGUAACACGUAGGGUGCAAGCGUUAAUCGGAAUUACUGGGCGUAAAGCGUGCGCAGGCGGUUAUAUAAGACAGAUGUGAAAUCCCCGGGCUCAACCUGGGAACUGCAUUUGUGACUGUAUAGCUAGAGUACGGCAGAGGGGGAUGGAAUUCCGCGUGUAGCAGUGAAAUGCGUAGAUAUGCGGAGGAACACCGAUGGCGAAGGCAAUCCCCUGGGCCUGUACUGACGCUCAUGCACGAAAGCGUGGGGAGCAAACAGGAUUAGAUACCCCAGUAGUCCCUGUCUCUUAUAC
rnacentral:rRNA from 1 species